rnacentral:ncRNA from 2 species
UAAGGUAGUAGAUUGUAUAGUU